AAAGCUCCAGCGCUGAAAAUGAGUCCCACUCCGGCCCUGCAUUUCUGUGAAAUCAUGUGACCACAGAGUGUCCUCUCUUCCCCUCUGUUUUUAGUUUAUUUAUUUAUUUUCUUUGAAGUCAAACUGUUUCUGUGAAAUCACGUGACCUCCGAGUGUCCUCUCUUCCCCUCCUGUUUUUAGUUGUUUUACUUAUUUUCUUUAAAGUCAAACUGUUUCUCCUAAAUGAUGUAACCCCAGAGCGUCGUCGUUCUCUACUGAUAUAUAUAAACUGUUCUCUUCUUUCUCUGCUUCCUCAGCAUCACAGGCCAACAUCACAGCUUCAGGAACUUCAGAUCCAUUUCUCUGGACCUCUUUCUGGGUUGACCAGGACUUUAAAACACAGGGAGUUAUGUGGAGGAUUCUCCUGAUGGUCAGUCUGCUCUGCUGG